rnacentral:rRNA from 1 species
UCCAAUCUGCUCACUGAAAUUUUAAAGAGCCGCAGUAUACUGACUGUGCAAAGGUAGCAUAAUCAAUAGUUUUUUAAUUGAGAACUUGUAUGAAAGAUUAGACAAAAAAUUUAUUUUCUUUGUUUUAUUGAAUUGAAUUUUAAUUUUAAGUGAAAAUGCUUAGCUAUUUAUAAUAGACGAGAAGACCCUAUAGAUUUUUAUUGUAUAAAUAAAUUUUAUAAUAGUUUAAUAAACCAAUUUCAUUGGGGUGAUUUUGUAAUAUGAAAAACUUAAUUUUAUAAAACCAAAAAUAAUUGAAAAUUUGAUCUAAAAAUUUUAAAGGAAAGAUUAAAUUACCUUAGGGAUAACAGCGUAAUUUUUUUUACGAGUUCAUAUCUAUAAAAAAGCUUGCGACCUCGAUGUUGAAUUAAGAUAAUAUGUUGAAGUAG